UCCCGGCAGGUGUUGUCACUGUUGCUUACCAGAAAGAAGAGGGGAAGAAUGAGAUGGUGGGGGAGUCAGCAUGGUGCAAACAACAACAGAGCCAAUCUGAGGCACCUGCUCAUGUGUUUGCACCAUGCUGUCCUCCUCACCCCCUUGCUCUUUCCCUUUUUUCUCCUGGUAAGCAACAACAACCCACCUGCCGGG